UUCAAAAUAACCAAUGUAACCAUGGAGUCGCAAAGCAAUAGCCUCACUCUCACCAAUGAGACCUACAGCCAGAUAGAGGAUUCAAUUAACAGCCUACUCCAUGAUAUUCUUUGUAAACCAGACGGCAAACAGUUUGACUUUCCCAAACCCAACUUCACUACUGUUGGCACUCAAAUCAGGGCAGACGUGAUGUAUGUAUACAAAAAGGAAGACAUCAACCUCCC